CGCACGGGUGAGUAACACGUAUCCAACCUGCCGUCUACUCUUGGACAGCCUUCUGAAAGGAAGAUUAAUACAAGAUGGCAUCAUGAGUUCACAUGUUCACAUGAUUAAAGGUAUUCCGGUAGACGAUGGGGAUGCGUUCCAUUAGGUUGUUGGCGGGGUAACGGCCCACCAAGCCUUCGAUGGAUAGGGGUUCUGAGAGGAAGGUCCCCCACAUUGGAACUGAGACACGGUCCAA
rnacentral:rRNA from 1 species